rnacentral:rRNA from 1 species
UACGUAGGUGACAAGCGUUGUCCGGAUUUACUGGGCGUAAAGAGCGCGCAGGCGGUCGAUCAAGUCGAGUGUGAAAGCCCCCGGCUCAACUGGGGAGGGUCAUUCGAUACUGAUCGACUCGAAGGCAGGAGAGGGUAGUGGAAUUCCCGGUGUAGUGGUGAAAUGCGUAGAUAUCCGGAGGAACACCAGUGGCGAAGGCGGCUUCCUGGACCGACACUGACGCUGAGGCGCGAAAGCUAGGGGAGCAAACGGG